GACGAACGCUGGCGGCGUGCUUAACACAUGCAAGUCGAACGGAAAGGCCCUGCUUUUGUGGGGUGCUCGAGUGGCGAACGGGUGAGUAACACGUGAGUAACCUGCCCUUGACUUUGGGAUAACUUCAGGAAACUGGGGCUAAUACCGGAUAGGAGCUCCUGCUGCAUGGUGGGGGUUGGAAAGUUUCGGCGGUUGGGGAUGGACUCGCGGCUUAUCAGCUUGUUGGUGGGGUAGUGGCUUACCAAGGCUUCGACGGGUAGCCGGCCUGAGAGGGUGACCGGCCACAUUGGGACUGAGAUACGGCCCAGACUCCUACGGGAGGCAGCAGUGGGGAAUAUUGCACAAUGGGCGGAAGCCUGAUGCAGCAACGCCGCGUGCGGGAUGACGGCCUUCGGGUUGUAAACCGCUUUCGCCUGUGACGAAUCGUGAGUGACGGUAAUGGGUAAAGAAGCACCGGCUAACUACGUG
rnacentral:rRNA from 1 species